rnacentral:lncRNA from 1 species
AUGGCGUCCGGCUCCUUCACAUCUGACCUCAGGCUCUUACUGGAGGAUCUGCAUCUGAAGAAGACCAGCGUCUACAGAUCCAUCCCGUACUCCCGCCUUGCCUCCAACCGAGACGCACACUGCUACAGGAAAGCCCGGCCACACCUGAUGGCCUUCAGGCGCUCGUGUCAGGACGGAGGCCGGCUGCUCCUGCAGAAAGCGCAGUGGGAGAAGCUGCUGGAGUUCGUUCAGGUGGCGUGUCGCUACGCUAGUGAACUCCCGCAGUGGGAGACCAGCACCCAUAAUGCACUGCGAGAGCACUGCUACAACACGCUAGCGGCGUUCUGUACUGCAGCGCUGCAGAAACACAGACCCGCUGCGCGCAGAGCUCGAGAACUGCUGCGCAGGUGAGCAAACACCCCAACACACACUGCAAGACUUUUAAUACAAAUAAAUAGAAGAAUUUAUUGAGCCGCAGAUUGAGAUCAGAGUGAUGUGCUUCACUACGAAACACCGUUUGGGUUAUAUUUCGAUGAAUCGUGCAACCCUGAGCUCUCUUCAGUCUGCUUUCAGUCCUUCUUGUUGUUUUUUUCUCAUAGGUUCAAAAUGGCUCCGGUGUCGAGGCGAGCGAUAGGCCCGUGUUUAGAAGAGCUGGAGAAGAUCCUUCAGGAAUAUCAGCGCGGAGAAUCACAAACACAGAUCCACCCGUGAGUGCUGCGUUCAGACGAGUGAGCUGCUGAUGAGUGACAUCACUGAGAUCAGACCGUGACAUACGUUAAUCCGUCAGGGCGUGAGACCCGCCCAUCAGGGCGUGAGACCCGCCCAUCAGAGCAAAAGACCCGCCCAUCAGGGUGUGAGACCUGCCCAUUAGGGCAUGAGACCCGCCCAUCAGAGCAUGUGAUUCGCCCAUCAGAGCAAAAGACUCGCUCAUCAGAGCAUGUGAUUUGCCCAUCAGACCAUGAGACCCGCCCAUCAGAGCAUGUGAUUCGCCCAUCAGAACGUGAGACCCGCCCAUCAGAGCAUGUGAUUCGCUCAUCAGAGCAUGUGAUUCGCCCAUCAGAGCAUGUGAUUCGCCCAUCAGAGCAUGUGAUUCGCCCAUCAGAACGUGAGACCCGCCCAUCAGAAUGGUGAGACCGCCCAUCAGAGCAUGAGAUUCGCCCAUCAGAGCAAAGACCGCUCCAUCAGAGCAUGUGAUUCGCCCAUCAGGGCGAGAGACCGUCAGGCCACACCUGCCUUUCAUUAGUGAUAAAAGGACCCAUAAUUCCUUGCUGUGACUGGACUGAUUACUUGAAUUUUUUUUUGGUGCUGUAUUCAGCAGUAAAUACUGUAUGUGUGUAUGUGAACGUCUGUCUCGUCUUUCUGUGCUGCACUUUGAAAUGUCUCUGUCUGUUAUAGUUUGUAAUAAAUCCAUUUGUUUUUCUUAAAGGAAUGUCUAGUUUCUCUUCUUGUCUGGCGUUAAUUAUGACAGACUGUGAUUCCAGCUCGUCCCGAAGCAGUAGAUGUGCUCAUAAUGACUCUGAGAAGGUAAUUGUGCAGCAUCAUAUACCCAUAACACCAUAAACACCAUCAUAAGGCUUCAUCAUAUGAGGUGUUUCCUG